rnacentral:misc_RNA from 1 species
UUAUGCGAUCAAGCCGCGGUCACACUGGGCUUGAUCACCACCGAAUUUAAGCUGCGCGUUUGAAGCGUGCGAGGAUUUUCGUCUAUAAAACCGUUGCGUAAACCACCAGCAACAUGGAGCAGCGUGCAGAACAACAACAUCAGCAUGUGCGCGUGGUCGAACAGCAACAACAAAAGCAACAGGUGGAACCAGCUGGGGAGGUGGAACCAGUAACCUGCGACACCCUAUCGAUCUCGGCUAGCAAGGAACUAACUGGUUUGACCCACGAGUGCGGGGUGUUUGGAGCGAUUGCUUGCGGGGAUUGGCCGACGCAGAUCGAUAUUGCUCACGUGAUCUGCCUUGGACUGGUGGCCUUGCAGCACCGUGGGCAGGAAUCCGCGGGUAUUGCCACCAGCGAAGGCAAGUGCUCAAAAAACUUUAACGUUCACAAAGGAAUGGGCAUGAUCAGUACCCUGUUUAACGAUGACUCGAUGAAGAAGUUGCGCGGAAACUUGGGAAUAGGCCACACUCGCUACUCCACAGCAGGAGCGUCGGAGGUGGUCAACUGUCAGCCCUUUGUGGUGCAUACUGCUCACGGCGCCAUGGCCCUCGCUCACAACGGCGAGCUGGUGAACAACGAAUCUCUGCGGCGCGAGGUCUUGGCCCGAGGUGUGGGCUUGUCAACCCACAGUGACAGUGAGCUCAUUGCCCAAUCGCUUUGCUGCGCCCCAGAGGAUGUUUCCGAACUGGACGGACCUAACUGGCCGGCCAGAAUCCGCCACUUCAUGACGCUGGCUCCUCUGUCUUACUCGCUGGUUAUCAUGCUCAAGGACAAAAUUUACGCUGUGAGGGACACCUACGGAAAUAGACCGUUGUGCAUUGGAAAGAUUGUUCCCAUCAAUGCUGGGCAUGGCGGAAACAGGGCGGAUACCCCUGCCGAUGGUUGGGUGGUGUCCAGCGAGAGUUGUGGCUUCCUGUCCAUUGGAGCACGGUAUGUUCGCGAAGUGGAGCCUGGAGAGAUUGUGGAGCUGACACGAAGCGGCUAUCGCACUGUCGAUAUUGUGGAGCGCCCAGAUUUCAAGCGCAUGGCCUUCUGCAUCUUCGAAUACGUGUACUUCGCUCGUGGAGACAGCAUCUUUGAAGGCCAAAUGGUGUACACGGUCAGAUUACAGUGCGGCCGGCAGCUGUGGCGGGAGGCUCCAGUCGAGGCGGAUAUCGUGAGCUCGGUGCCCGAAUCUGGAACGGCGGCAGCACAUGGUUAUGCGCGCGAGUCUGGCCUGGAGUUCGCCGAAGUUCUCUGCAGGAAUCGUUACGUGGGACGCACUUUCAUCCAGCCAUCAACCAGAUUGCGGCAACUGGGAGUGGCCAAGAAGUUCGGAGCUCUGUCUGAGAAUGUAGCUGGCAAGAGGUUGGUGUUGAUAGACGACUCAAUUGUGCGGGGUAACACCAUUGGGCCGAUCAUCAAGCUACUGCGGGAUGCUGGAGCGAAGGAGGUGCACAUUCGCAUCGCUAGUCCGCCACUGCAGUAUCCCUGCUAUAUGGGAAUAAACAUACCCACGCGCGAGGAGCUUAUUGCCAACAAGCUGGACGCCAAUCAGCUGGCUCGUCACGUGGGCGCGGAUAGCCUGGCUUAUCUCAGCGUGGAGGGUCUGGUGGAGGCCGUCCAACUGAAGAACCAAACGGUCGGAGAUGGCAAGUCCAAACCUACUGGCCACUGCACCGCGUGCCUUACAGGACAAUAUCCAGGUGGGUUGCCUGACGAGCUGAGCUGGUAACUCCUGGAAAAAUAUAUAAAAAACAAUGUUGCAACAAACCAGUUGCACGCUCCACAAAAAAAAGAGAUCGCACACAGUAUCAUAAGCCACAGAGGGCUCGAAAUUGCUGUCACAAACUUUGCAUUUACUUUUAGGUGACAAGCUCUUGCUUCACAAAAGCUAUUCCAUUCACAAAAAGACAACUAGUGUCUUGGUCAGUCUGAUUUGUCCUUGGAACUCUAUACAAAUAGUACAAAUUAUAGCCCUCGAUGUUGCCAAUUUUGAUUAUCAUAUAUCUUCAUUAACGAUUGCCAAUAAAAGACAUUUAGACAAUAAGA